rnacentral:rRNA from 6 species
AUUGACCUCGGAUCAGGUAGGGAUACCCGCUGAACUUAAGCAUAUCAAUAAGCGGAGGAAAAGAAACCAACAGGGAUUGCCUCAGUAACGGCGAGUGAAGCGGCAACAGCUCAAAUUUGAAAUCUGGCUCCUUCGGGGUCCGAAUUGUAAUUUGUAGAGAGUGCUUCGGGCGAGACCUCGGUCUAAGUCCAUUGGAACAUGGUGUCAUAGAGGGUGAGAAUCCCGUAUGCGACCGUGGCUCGAGCCCAUGUGAAGCCUCUUCGACGAGUCGAGUUGUUUGGGAAUGCAGCUCAAAAUGGGUGGUAAAUUUCAUCUAAAGCUAAAUACUGGCUGGAGACCGAUAGCGCACAAGUAGAGUGAUCGAAAGAUGAAAAGCACUUUGGAAAGAGAGUCAAACAGUACGUGAAAUUGUUGAAA